rnacentral:rRNA from 1 species
UACGGGGGGGGCAAGCGUUGUUCGGAAUUACUGGGCGUAAAGGGCUCGUAGGCGGCCAACUAAGUCAGACGUGAAAUCCCUCAGCUUAACUGGGGAACUGCGUCCGAUACUGGAUGGCUUGAGUUUGGGAGAGGGAUGCGGAAUUCCAGGUGUAGCGGUGAAAUGCGUAGAUAUCUGGAGGAACACCGGUGGCGAAGGCGGCAUCCUGGACCAACACUGACACUGAGGAGCGAAAGCCAGGGGAGCAAACGGG